rnacentral:rRNA from 1 species
GAUGAACGCUGGCGGCGUGCCUAAUACAUGCAAGUCGAGCGAACGGACGAGAAGCUUGCUUCUCUGAUGUUAGCGGCGGACGGGUGAGUAACACGUGGAUAACCUACCUAUAAGACUGGGAUAACUUCGGGAAACCGUAGCUAAUACCGGAUAAUAUUUUGAACCGCAUGGUUCAAAAGUGAAAGACGGUCUUGCUGUCACUUAUAGAUGGAUCCGCGCUGCAUUAGCUAGUUGGUAAGGUAACGGCUUACCAAGGCAACGAUGCAUAGCCGACCUGAGAGGGUGAUCGGCCACACUGGAACUGAGACACGGUCCAGACUCCUACGGGAGGCAGCAGUAGGGAAUCUUCCGCAAUGGGCGAAAGCCUGACGGAGCAACGCCGCGUGAGUGAUGAAGGUCUUCGGAUCGUAAAACUCUGUUAUUAGGGAAGAACAUAUGUGUAAGUAACUGUGCACAUCUUGACGGUACCUAAUCAGAAAGCCACGGCUAACUACGUGCCAGCAGCCGCGGUAAUACGUAGGUGGCAAGCGUUAUCCGGAAUUAUUGGGCGUAAAGCGCGCGUAGGCGGUUUUUUAGUCUGAUGUGAAAGCCCACGGCUCAACCGUGGAGGGUCAUUGGAAACUGGAAAACUUGAGUGCAGAAGAGGAAAGUGGAAUUCCAUGUGUAGCGGUGAAAUGCGCAGAGAUAUGGAGGAACACCAGUGGCGAAGGCGACUUUCUGGUCUGUAACUGACGCUGAUGUGCGAAAGCGUGGGGAUCAAACAGGAUUAGAUACCCUGGUAGUCCACGCCGUAAACGAUGAGUGCUAAGUGUUAGGGGGUUUCCGCCCCUUAGUGCUGCAGCUAACGCAUUAAGCACUCCGCCUGGGGAGUACGACCGCAAGGUUGAAACUCAAAGGAAUUGACGGGGACCCGCACAAGCGGUGGAGCAUGUGGUUUAAUUCGAAGCAACGCGAAGAACCUUACCAAAUCUUGACAUCCUUUGACAACUCUAGAGAUAGAGCCUUCCCCUUCGGGGGACAAAGUGACAGGUGGUGCAUGGUUGUCGUCUGCUCGUGUCGUGAGAUGUUGGGUUAAGUCCCGCAACGAGCGCAACCCUUAAGCUUAGUUGCCAUCAUUAAGUUGGGCACUCUAAGUUGACUGCCGGUGACAAACCGGAGGAAGGUGGGGAUGACGUCAAAUCAUCAUGCCCCUUAUGAUUUGGGCUACACACGUGCUACAAUGGACAAUACAAAGGGCAGCGAAACCGCGAGGUCAAGCAAAUCCCAUAAAGUUGUUCUCAGUUCGGAUUGUAGUCUGCAACUCGACUACAUGAAGCUGGAAUCGCUAGUAAUCGUAGAUCAGCAUGCUACGGUGAAUACGUUCCCGGGUCU